CUUCGAGCGGGAGGUUGGAUUCUGGCUGUGGCUGUGCUGUGAGCUCCACCGAGCUGAGCCGUGGGAUGGGACACAGGCUCAGCAGUGACUUGGUGCUUGCGGGGGGCGUGGCCUUUGUGCCGCAGUUGAAGCCUGAUGCACGGACCCCUAUGCUGCUUUCUCCUGGCCGUGUCAGCACGAAGCCAGUGGAUGUCACAGCCGUUCCACAGCCAGGAAGCAGCAGAUAUUUCGGAGAACCCUUCCAGACCACAGUCCACUCACUCCUGAAAUGACCCAGGGUUUGAGAGUCGGCUCCGGUGACAACGAGGUGUCUGGGCUGAGGAGCUGAGCCCGGGACAGCAGCAGGAGCCAGCAGCAGGAGCCAGGGCUGCUGUGCGCCCUGCUCAGAUUUUCAGAUUUGGAAGCAAUGGAGAGCAAAUGAUGUUUCUUAUAAGAUGGUCCACCAGAAGCCAGCUUCCCUAGUGAAAUGCUGCCUUGUCAGUGUCCUCUGUUAGUGAUUCCUGCAAACUAGAGGGUUUCCUACUUGGCGAAGCCUCUGUUUGUGAUGGCAAGUGUGUGCGCGGGUUCCACUGCAUUUGCAGUGGAACUUGUGUCUUGGCCAGUUGAAGAGAGGGGAAAAGAAAG
rnacentral:lncRNA from 1 species